UUGGCUCAGAGUUGAACGCUGGCGGCAUGCCUUACACAUGCAAGUCGAACGGCAGGCACGGGGGCAACCCUGGUGGCGAGUGGCGAACGGGUGAGUAACAUAUCGGAACGUGCCCUGGAGUGGGGGAUAACUAGUCGAAAGAUUAGCUAAUACCGCAUACGAUCUACGGAUGAAAGUGGGGGAUCGCAAGACCUCAUGCUCGUGGAGCGGCCGAUAUCUGAUUAGCUAGUUGGUGGGGUAAAGGCCUACCAAGGCAUCGAUCAGUAGCUGGUCUGAGAGGACGACCAGCCACACUGGGACUGAGACACGGCCCAGACUCCUACGGGAGGCAGCAGUGGGGAAUUUUGGACAAUGGGCGCAAGCCUGAUCCAGCAAUGCCGCGUGAGUGAAGAAGGCCUUCGGGUUGUAAAGCUCUUUUGUCAGGGAAGAAACGGCGAGGGCUAAUAUCCCUUGCUAAUGACGGUACCUGAAGAAUAAGCACCGGCUAACUACGUG
rnacentral:rRNA from 1 species